rnacentral:rRNA from 1 species
UACAGAGGGGGCAAGCGUUGUUCGGAAUUACUGGGCGUAAAGGGCGCGCAGGCGGUCUUCCAAGUCAGUGGUGAAAUCCCAGAGCUCAACUCUGGAACCGCAUCCAAAACUGUCGAUCUAGAGGGUAGAUGGGGAAAAUGGAAUUCCACAAGUAGCGGUGAAAUGCGUAGAUAUGUGGAAGAACACCUGUGGCGAAAGCGGUUUUCCAAUUUACACCUGACGCUGAGGCGCGAAAGCAAGGGGAUCAAACAGG